AGGCUUAGUUGAGUUGAGUUGAUGCACCUUGGAGGCCAUAAUUAAAGACAUAAUUGGUAUACGUUUUUGGAAAAGCCAUCAACUAGUUAUAGUCAUGCCAAACUAGGAUUAGGAAAGAAAAUUUGGAGUCCUACACCCUGACAUUUUAGCAUGAAGUGAAUACUCCCAAGAUUUAAACACCACCCUUGCGGUUUUAAGCCCAGGCCUUGUGAUUACAACAAGCAAUUGCCCUUGAAACAACAUUACUCAAGUAUGAUCUCACCAAUGUAAGUCUUGAAAUGAAAGAAAUAUAGCUUUUACCUGCUGGUAUUUUCUAAUGAAAUAACAGCUCUUGAGACUCAAAAUUUGCAUACUUGUGCUCACAGCUUGCACCAAGCAUGGUCUUAAUAUUUAGCUUCGUGAAAGAAUCAUUAAUAUUUAUAUUACUUGCCAAUCAUAUUUGUCAAAAUUCUAUUGCUCUUUAUAUCAAUAUUUAGCUUCAAACUUCAAAUGUUUGAAUGUUAUUCUCUUAAGUAAUAAUGUUAUUCUCAUAAGUAAUUUCAGGAAUCUGCUUUGGAACUUUACAAUCUACAAUUUGUAUAUUGAAAUCUUCCAGUUUACUGCAGUAAAAGUCCAGCUCUAUUUUCAACGCAUAAACUUUCAGUAAGACGGAUAUGGAUUUAAACAGUUGCUUUCAUGACCAAGA
rnacentral:misc_RNA from 1 species